UGAAAUUUGAUUAAUAUCAAGGCGACACACAAAAAAAUAUAAAAAUAAAAAAUUCCUCGAAGUACAAUCGAUAUACAGCGAAAGGUUAAUGUUUCUCAUAUCGCCCAGACAUGUGUAUUAACAGUUAACGUGUCAUCGAUAAGUGCCAACUAAUUAUACAACCCAUGACGAAAGUUUUUAAUUCCAUCGAUACGAAGAAAGCAGAAAGAAAAAAAACUCCCCUACAGAAAUGACUAAACUUUCCAUGGCGCGUGUGGGAGGCGGUGUCGGGUGGGUGGCAGACUUAAAAAAAAAAUACAAUUUGAGUUGAGCGCAAAUAUCAACAAUUGAAACAGCUGUCUAAAUCGCUGAGGACUUUAAGCUUUUUUCGUCGUUGGCUUUCUUUUGUCGUACGCAAGCGCGAGCAGACGUCACUCGAGUGUCUUUGCUUUCUAUCUUUGUACUUCUAGAUCUAAUCAUCUAUCUCUGUUUCGCUCUGUCUCCCUCUCAAAUUGCGUGAUAAGACAACGAGCAACAAAAUUGCACGCGCUAAAAAUUUCAUUGAUAAACCGAACUUGGUGAAAGAAAAAAAUAAUAAUAAACAGCCGCUUGUUUUUUCUUAAUAAGAGGAAGUGGUGCAUAAAACAUAGAAAAUCCAUCAGCAGCAAGCACAACAAAAAAAAAAAGAGAUAUAAAUAAAUAUUUAUGAACAUAUUCGAGUAUUAUAUCAUGCACAUUGGCAAACGGGUUUUCAAUUGUUUAUGGAGAGAACUUUUGCGAAAAAUACAAUGUGCAUACGUAUGUAUGUUUAUACUAUAAUGUUUAUAGGAGUAUCAAAAGUCUAUACACCGCCAUAUCGAGCAUUCCAAUCGAAUCACAUGCCCGCAACAUCAAAUUUUUGUUAAUGUUGUUACUCAGCGUGGGACUUUUGUUGCUAUCUUCUUUUCAUUUUGUGCUCUCCUACUUGGCUGUGUGUUUAAAAAUAAACAAAUUGAGGCCGGGUGGGAAAAUAAUAAUAGACUGACUGGUAUUUGUAUUUAAUAGAAAAGACUUCUACGAAAUUUUGAUGGAUUAUGAUUAAAACUUGUAUUUUUAAAUUAAUUUUUUACUUCAAUUUCUACGAAAUACGAAUCGAAUUUCUGCUGACUCUUUUGAAAUAUUGACAAAGUAACAGACAAAUAAAAUGAAACAAAGCAAAGCAAAGCCAAGUCGAACUUAAUUUGCAUAAACUGCGCACGAGGCUCUUGAAAUCGGAGAGAACAAAAUCAACACACAAAUUCUUUUGUGUGUUCGUAUUUAUUCGCUUUAGGCAAAAUUUGCGUAUUUGUAUUUGUUUUCAUCUGCUUGCGUCGGCGUUUUGGCAUUUCCCAAACAUUAAUGGUAUGCCUGACAUUGCCAUUCCACGAAUUCCAAUGCGAUUUACAGUGGUCUCCCUUUCUCGCUCUCACAUACUACCUAAGCCGUACUUAAUACUCAACUGCACUUAAGUUGGGAUUUGGCCACACGCACGUACAGCAAUAGAGAGAGACGCCAACGUGAGUGCGUAAAUUGAAUAUGUAUGAAUGUAAGUUCGAAAUUACGCACAAGGAGAACGGAUCAUAAAGUGCAAUUACGUGGAAGAGGCAACAAGACAGAAACACUUGACAAGGACAUGGACAAUGCGAAUGUGUGGGUGAGAGAGCGAGACAAGCAUCUCAUACUUUGAGACAGGAAGUUGUCGGUUGGGACAGCUGUCUUACUAAACGGAAGCGCGCAAUUUGUUUAAUUGCCAGGCAAAAAAUGCCAUGGAAAUUGAUUUUUGUUGGUUAAGCAACAAAACGCAGCCAAGCGUAAACAAGGCACAUGCGAAAGUCAAACGAGAAAUGUAAAAUGUAAAACGCAAAGCGCAUUGCAAAAACUAAAGCCACCUUCCUGCGAUAGCCUUUGACAACUGUCAAACUAAUUAAUACUACACUUAUGCACAAAGAGAGUGCGAGUGGGAGAGACAUACACGUAAACAAAGAGAGCACUCACUCGUUCCGACACACACAAAGAUAGUCUACUCGUACUAUUGCGAAAACAAUAACAAAUAACUAGCCAAGGCAACUACAGCUGAGCCCCGUUUGCGCCUGUCACUGCCUGACACCAUGUUUGUCGAUUGAGCGAGAGAUGGAAGGAAGACACGUGCAUUUUUCUUACCUGAAUUUGCGGGUCCAGCUCGCUGUCUUCAGUGUUUGACAUUUUGCACCACAGUAAAUUUGCUUUUAUCGUCUGCCAAAUCCGAAAUGUGUUAAUUUGCUAUUCCAAUGCAACCGCUUUCAAUUUCAAUUAGUUUUCACUUUUGUCGCCAACAGCAGCCAGUUAUUGCUUUAUUUGCGCCUUUUCAAUUGAUUUGCAUUUGCAUUUUCACUUGCAUUUCAUUUGUUAGCAGCGCAAUUCAAUGAUUUGUUUUAUUCUGCUCUGCCCGGGGACGACGCUACUUUUAUGGCAGCAUUUAUUUAAGCAAUCAACUUUUAGCUGUGUGUGUUUUUGUGUACGAAGAUUAUGCAAACACUCUUCUCACUGAGAAUUUCGUGAAUUAAAUAAAAAUAAUAAUAAUAGCAUUUGUUGUAUUACGUUGUUUGUGUAAGAGAGGGAUAGAUAAAUAGAGAGAGGGACGCAGACGUAUAAAAUCACAAUUGCAAAAUUAACUCAAAUACCACAAAUUUCAUAUGCACACUUCUAAUGUUACUGUAGCUUCACUGUUAACCAACUAUUUUCGUUUUAAA